UUACUUGCGUUCUUACUAACUUAUUUACUUGUUUACUAACUUAUUUACUUACUAACUUAUUUACUUGCUUACUUACUAACUUAUUUACUUUUUUACUAACUAACUUAUUUACUUACUAACCUGCUUGCUUGCUUGCUUGCUUACUUAUUUACUUACGUGCUUAUUUACUUGUUUAUAUACUUACUGAAUCCUUGCAUCCCAAGGUAUCCGCUACAACCAGCACAUUUUCUUAAUUUAAUUCCGUGUUAGCGUUUCGAUCGAAGACCUUCAUGGGCAACAGAAGCGAAGAUGCUUCUGAGAAAGAUGUUUUUUGUUUCUCUUCUCUGAGGUCAUGUGAUGGUUAUAGGUAGGGACGAUAGGUAGGGACGGGCGGCGUACAGACUUGAAACGAUAUCACGAUAUUUCAUGUUUUUUUGGGGGGGGGGGGUUGCGGUAAGGAUAUAAAUGACGAUGUGAAAGUGGUAACGUUCAACACCAUGUUUCUGGCCUCGGCAGCAGACAGUUUUGAGAGCCGUGCAAACGUGAAUACUGAUCCCGAAAAAAGUCCGGCUUAGUCCUUCAUCAAAUGCUAAACUAUACCAUGCAAGUAGGCUUAAAAAUAUAAUAUGAAACGUGAACACCAAUACAUACUUGCAGGAUAUUAAUAAUAAUAAUAAUAGUAGUAGUAGUAGUAGUAGUAGUAUUAAUAAUAAUAAUAAUAAUAGUAGUAGUAGUAGUAUUA
ensembl:lncRNA